rfam:Harpegnathos saltator strain R22 G/1 HarSal_1.0_3.contig124, whole genome shotgun sequence.
UAAACGGUUCUUUUCAGAACCACUUAAAUAUUUGACGAAGGAACACU